rnacentral:rRNA from 1 species
GAUGAACGCUGGCGGCGUGCCUAAUACAUGCAAGUCGAGCGAACAGACGAGGAGCUUGCUCCUCUGACGUUAGCGGCGGACGGGUGAGUAACACGUGGAUAACCUACCUAUAAGACUGGGAUAACUUCGGGAAACCGGAGCUAAUACCGGAUAAUAUAUUGAACCGCAUGGUUCAAUAGUGAAAGACGGUUUUGCUGUCACUUAUAGAUGGAUCCGCGCCGCAUUAGCUAGUUGGUAAGGUAACGGCUUACCAAGGCAACGAUGCGUAGCCGACCUGAGAGGGUGAUCGGCCACACUGGAACUGAGACACGGUCCAGACUCCUACGGGAGGCAGCAGUAGGGAAUCUUCCGCAAUGGGCGAAAGCUUGACGGAGCAACGCCGCGUGAGUGAUGAAGGUCUUCGGAUCGUAAAACUCUGUUAUUAGGGAAGAACAAAUGUGUAAGUAACGAUGCACGUCUGGACGGUACCUAAUCAGAAAGCCACGGCGAACUACGU